rnacentral:rRNA from 1 species
GAUGAACGCUGGCGGCGUGCCUAAUCCAUGCAAGUCGCGCGAAGCGGGGACGGGUGAGUAACACGUGAAUAACCUCCUAUAAGACUGGGAUAACAUCGGGAAACCGGAGCUAAAACGGAUAAUUAUAGAUGGGUCCGCGCUGCAUUAGCUAGUUGGUAAGAUAACGGCUUACCAAGGCAACGAUGCAGCGCCGACCUGAGAGGGUGAUCGCCCACACUGGAACUGAUACACGGUCCAGACUCCUACUGUGGGCAGCAUUAGGGAAUCUUCCGCAAUGGGCGAAAUCCUGACGGAGCAACGCCGCGUGAGUGAUGAAGGUCUUCGGAUCGUAAAACUCUGUUAUUAGGGAAGCGGUACCUAAUCAGAACGCCACGGCUAACUACGUGCCAGCAGCCGCGGUAAUAC